rnacentral:tRNA from 1 species
GCAGAGGUAGCCAAGCCCGGUCAAUCGGGACAACAAUCCAAAGGGUCAAAACCAUAGGCGCGGGACUUAAGAUCCCGUCCCGUAGGGGUCCGCGGGUUCGAAGCCCGCCCUCUGCA